rnacentral:rRNA from 1 species
GACGAACGCUGGCGGCGUGCUUAACACAUGCAAGUCGAACGAAGUGGCGAACGGGUGAGUAACGCGUAAUCAACCUGCCCUUCAGAGGGGGACAACAGUUGGAAACGACUGCUAAUACCCCAUACUGAAGGAGGGGAUUGCGUCGGAUUAGCUAGUUGGAGGGGUAACGGCCCACCAAGGCGAUGAUCAGUAGCCGGUCUGGGAGGAUGAACGGCCACAUUGGGACUGAGACACGGCCCAGACUCCUACGGGAGGGAGCAGUGGGGAAUCUUCCGCAAUGGACGAAAGUCUGACGGAGGAACGCCGCGUGGGUGAUUACGGCCUUCGGGUUGUAAAGCUCUGUUAAUCGGGACGCGGUACCGGAAUAGAAGGCCACGGCUAACUACGUGCCAGCAGCCGCGGUAAUAC